AGUGAACGCUGGCGGUAGGCCUAACACAUGCAAGUCGAACGGCAGCACAGUAAGAGCUUGCUCUUACGGGUGGCGAGUGGCGGACGGGUGAGGAAUACAUCGGAAUCUACUUUUUCGUGGGGGAUAACGUAGGGAAACUUACGCUAAUACCGCAUACGACCUACGGUUGAAAGCAGGGGAUCUUCGGACCUUGCGCGAUUGAAUGAGCCGAUGUCGGAUUAGCUAGUUGGCGGGGUAAAGGCCCACCAAGGCGACGAUCCGUAGCUGGUCUGAGAGGAUGAUCAGCCACACUGGAACGGGGACACGGUCCAGACUCCUACGGGAGGCAGCAGCGGGGAAUAUUGGACAAUGGGCGCAAGCCUGAUCCAGCCAUACCGCGUGGGUGAAGAAGGCCUUCGGGUUGUAAAGCCCUUUUGUUGGGAAAGAAAAGCAGCAGGUUAAUACCCCGCUGUUCUGACGGUACCCAAAGAAUAAGCACCGGCUAACUUUGUG
rnacentral:rRNA from 1 species